UACAGAGGGUGCAAGCGUUGUUCGGAAUUAUUGGGCGUAAAGGGCGCGUAGGCGGUGCGGUAAGUCUGUAGUGAAAUCUCUGGGCUCAACUCAGAGUCUGCUGCAGAAACUGCCGUGCUUGAGUGUGGGAGAGGUGAGUGGAAUUCCCGGUGUGGCGGUGAAAUGCGUAGAUAUCGGGAGGAACACCUGUGGCGAAAGCGGCUCACUGGACCACAACUGACGCUGAGGCGCGAAAGCUAGGGGAGCAAACAGG
rnacentral:rRNA from 1 species